rnacentral:piRNA from 1 species
UCCUAUGAUUUAGAUGAUGGAAACUGA